ensembl:misc_RNA Y_RNA Y RNA
GGCUGGCCCGAAGGUAGUGAGUUAUCUCAGAUGAUUGUUCACUGUCAGUUACAGAUUGAACUUUUUGUUCUACUCUUUCCUCCUUCUCACUACACUUGACUAGAUAUA